GCAACACAUGCCUGCCGCCUUAACUAGCGUCUUCAAAAACAAAAACGGGCUGAAUUUCAGCGUGGGAUUGUGCACAAUUUAAUUUAUGCCUGCAAAUCCAACCCUUAUAAUGUGUGGAAUUCCCGCACACAUUUUACAGCGAUGUAUGUUCAACCAACGUGGCCGGAACCACUGUGUCCGAGUGUCUUGACUUCGACCCUGAACACACCUGUAGAUCUGAACCUCCCGCUAGCAGAACACACAGUGCUUUUACAUGGGAUAGCUUGGAUUAAACCUUAUACCGAUUUUGCUACUCGAACGGACCAUGUCAAUUGCCCGAACGUACAUGGCCUUUAGAGAUCGGAUAAUGGCCGGAGCAUGGCUGAAUCCGCUACCCUAAGUGGCGCUGUAGCCCUUUCAUACAGUGGUUAUAGAACUUCUGGUUGACCUCUACUGUAAAAGAUGUAUGUUAAGUUGCACACUUCACGUUAGAAUGCAGUUGCAGGCUUACAUUCCCCAUGGGUAACUUUCUGUUUCCAUCUAUACGUGCUGUGAUGUAUGCAUGCUACAUAUGUUAUGUAUUCUCUGCAAUAAAUUCUUUUUGUGUUUAAUAGCAUCAUGUCGACGGCAGAAGGGACAUUAUCAUCCGUUGCUUAGUUGAGUAUCUUGGAGAGAGUGGAGAGGAGCUGAUCAAAGACUAUCAGGACGUCAGCCAAGAAGCAGUGAAAGAGGACUGCAGUAAUCACAUGAUGCAGAUCAACGUCAUCCAUCCCAAUGUGGCACAGGAAAACCAAGAUCCUGUGUAUGUGUCAGUCAUCAUCAAGUGUGACAAACGCUUGCCUCCUGCUCAUGGGUGUCAUCUAUGCUGUAAACUUAAGUUACCCACUUAAACUGAAAUAUACGUUUGAAGUAUUUCAGAAGCUGUUUCUUGAGCUUGACGUCAUUACAAUGUCACCAAAGGUCCAGUUUCUCCACAAUAAACUUUUAGCGUGAGUGUUCCAGUGCUAUUUGUGCUUUUGUCCAGCACAAACAAUCUCUUUACUUUUGUCAUUUUUCUGACUGAAAUUUCAAGUUUUGCUUAGUUUUUAAGUUAUUUCUGUCCUGAACAUCCUGAGAAUGUCUGCAAAGGUAGCCAUUGCAGUUUAUGUAUGCAUUCUUUGCUGUUCUGAAAAGUCAACUGUAACACUGUAUUCGUUUGUAUGCUGGAAUAUCAGUCCUAAAGUCAGUUGGUGCUUUGUCAUUCCGCAUUGAAUUUUUCAAAUCCUAAACGGCUUUACUUUUGAGCUUUUGUGUGUGUGUGUGUGUGUGUG
ensembl:lncRNA